AGUGAGGAAUUUUGCGCAAUGGGGGAAACCCUGACGCAGCAACGCCGCGUGAGUGAAGAAGGCCCUUGGGUCGUAAAGCUCUGUCAACUGGGAAGAAGUUGUUAUUGUUUAAUAAAUGAUAGCAUUGACGGUACCAGUGGAGGAAGCGCCGGCUAACUCCGUGCCAGCAGCCGCGGUAACACGGGGGGCGCAAGCGUUAUUCGGAAUUAUUGGGCGUAAAGGGCGCGUAGGCGGUUCUGUCGGUCAGAUGUGAAAGCCCGGGGCUCAACCCUGGAAGUGCAUUUGAAACAGCAGAACUUGAGUACGGGAGAGGAAAGCGGAAUUCCUGGUGUAGAGGUGAAAUUCGUAGAUAUCAGGAGGAACACCGAUGGCGAAGGCAGCUUUCUGGACCGAUACUGACGCUGAGGCGCGAAGGCGUGGGUAGCGAACAGGAUUAGAUACCCUGGUAGUCCACGCAGUAAACGAUGUUCACUAGGUGUAGCGGGUAUUAAAACUUGCUGUGCCGCAGCUAACGCAUUAAGUGAACCGCCUGGGAAGUACGGUCGCAAGACUA
rnacentral:rRNA from 1 species